GGAGAAUGUAAAGAAUAUAAUAUCCCUGGCUUUAAUACCUUUUCUAAAAUAAGAAAAAAGAAGAAGAAAGCAAAAAGACAUAGUGGUGGGAUACUAGUAUACUAUAAAAAAAUAUACUCCAAAGGGAUUUCCCAUAUUCAAGAAGGUACUAAUUCACAAAACAGGCUAUGGCUUAAAUUAGACAAAAAUUUCUUUGGCCUUACAUAUGACUUAUACUUGUGUGCUGUUUAUAUCCCCCCUGUAAAUUCCACUCAUUAUGAAAAUGACUAUACUCAGCUAGAAAAGGAAAUAAGUACAUAUUCAAACAAAGGACAAAUUGCCUUAAUAGGAGAUUUUAACUCCCGCACUAGCAGUCACCCAGAUUUUAUAGAAAAUGAUGACCCAGAUCUAUUUAAUAUACAUUCUCAAAAUAUAUUACCUCAAAAUUAUGAUGUGGAUCAAUUUUUAAAAAGAAAUAACCAAGAUAAAAUACUAAAUGCACAGGGUAACAAUCUUUUAGAAUUAUGCUUGUCAUCAAGACUACGUAUACUUAACGGCAGAUACAUUGGUGAUUCUUUGGGAUAUUUUACAUGUUUCACGCCCAAUGGCUUGAGUACAGUAGAUUAUGCUAUUGUAAGUAAGAGUCUCCUGACCUCAGUAAUAUACUUUAAAACUAAUGAAAUCAACUACCUUUCAGAUCAUGCACAAAUUGAAAUAUUUCUUAAAUGUAAUAUAAGUGAAAAACAGUCUCUGUUUCCAGAAGACAAAUGGAAAACAAUGAAAUCUUAUAAGUGGAACGAUAACUCCAAAAAUAUAUUAAUUCAAACCCUAUCUUCUGAAAAUUUUAUAAACGAAAUUAUAAACUUUGAAUCAAAGAAAUAUAGUGAAAAUCAAAAUGGGAUAGAUCAGGCAGCUAGUGAGCUUGAUUUAAUUUUAUGCAACUUAACAGAAAAAACUUGUACACUAAGACAUGUAAGAGGUAUACCAAACUUUAAAAGAAACAAAAAAAAGAAACAAAAAUGGUCAGAUAAUGAAGUAUAUGAAUAUAAAAAGUCAAUAAAUGCAGUUGGAAAAGAAUUAAGACAAAAUCCCUUUAACUGUUCACUGAAACAUAAAUAUUUUUGUUUACUCAAAUCAUUUAGAAAGUUAAC
rnacentral:lncRNA from 1 species